rnacentral:rRNA from 1 species
GACGAACGCUGGCGGCGUGCUUAACACAUGCAAGUCGAACGGAAAGGCCCGGCUCUUGCGGGGUGCUCGAGUGGCGAACGGGUGAGUAACACGUGAGUGACCUGCCCCUGACUUUGGGAUAACUUCAGGAAACUGGGGCUCAUACCCGAUAUGAGCUUCUGCUGCAUGUUGUUGGUUGGUAAGAUUCGGCGGUUGGGGCUGGACUGGCUGCUUAUCAGCUUGUUUGUGUGGUAGUGGCUUUCCACGGUUUUGACGGCUAGCCUGCCUGAGAGGGUGACCGGGCACCUGGGGACUGAGGUACGGCCCAGACUCCUACGGGAGGCAGCGGUGGGGAAUAUUGCAGAAUGGGGGGAAGCGUGAUGCGACAACGCCGCGUGCGGGAUGACGGCCUUCGGGUUGUAAACCGCUUUCGCCUGUACUGAAGAGUGAGUGACGGUAAUGGGUAAAGAAGCAACGGCUAACUACGUG